rnacentral:antisense_RNA from 1 species
GUGGACGGUUCCUGUUCUGUGGCCGCGCAAGCAACGACCACCCUAUGGGGAACUCGACGCCGGACACAGGGGCCGUCCACCCCA